rnacentral:rRNA from 1 species
AUGAACGCUGGCGGCGUGCCUAAUACAUGCCCGUCGAGCGAACAGACGAGGAGCUUGCUCCUCUGACGUUAGCGGCGGACGGGUGAGUAACACGUGGAUAACCUACCUAUAAGACUGGGAUAACUUCGGGAAACCGGAGCUAAUACCGGAUAAUAUAUUGAACCGCAUGGUUCAAUAGUGAAAGACGGUUUUGCUGUCACUUAUAGAUGGAUCCGCGCCGCAUUAGCUAGUUGGUAAGGUAACGGCUUACCAAGGCAACGAUGCGUAGCCGACCUGAGAGGGUGAUCGGCCACACUGGAACUGAGACACGGUCCAGACUCCUACGGGAGGCAGCAGUAGGGAAUCUUCCGCAAUGGGCGAAAGCUUGACGGAGCAACGCCGCGUGAGUGAUGAAGGUCUUCGGAUCGUAAAACUCUGUUAUUAGGGAAGAACAAAUGUGUAAGUAACUAUGCACGUCUUGACGGUACCUAAUCAGAAAGCCACGGCUAACUACGU